AUAAAAAUGCAGCCUUCUAGAAGAAAGAGCACUUUUUUCAAAGGGAGGAAGACCACAGCUCUGCCAUGGGGAAAGACAGCAACCUCUGUGCAGCAUGUUCCAACCUGGAGUAAAACGUUUUCUGAGCAACAUCACAGGCAAAAAGACAAGAUCCUGAAGACUUGAUGAUGAUGUUGACUUACUUCUUCUCUAACUGUCCAAUUAGUUAUGAUGCUACAAAGGGAGAUAUUAGUGCCAUAUGGAAUGCAAGAUGCUGAAGACACCAAGCUUUUUCUCCCUCUCCUGAAGAACAGGAAUCAACGUCCGAGUAAGAAGAUAUCAAGCAAAAUCGAAGUUGCUCACGAUAAAAUAUAAGAGCCCAGGCUACUGCACUGACAAAGAAAAUUGCAUUUUUAGUUUUUGUUUGCUUGGAAAGCAGCUUGCCUGAAGCUGAAUUCAUCACUAUUCCACUUAUCUCCGAGUCAGCAAGGGACAGUUUUACAAAUCUCUAACAUAAGGCAUGAAAUAGAAUUCAACAGCAGCACUGAUUUUCUUCUUUGUAAUUGGUUCUGGCCAAAUGAAUGGAGGCUGAUGGACUGCAAACACAAGCAGCACAUUUUGGAGUGUUUUCUUGAAAUGUUAACUUUAUUAAAAUCAGUCACCCUGUGAGAAAAACUGUAAUCUCACAGAGAAUCAACUCUCCCUGAUUUAUUAUCUUUCCUUGUACAUGCUUCAAAAUACAACCUUGGGGUGAAACACUCUGAAAGCUGAUUGCUUUUA